rnacentral:rRNA from 1 species
CCUACGGGUGGCAGCAGUGAGGAAUAUUGGUCAAUGGGCGCGAGCCUGAACCAGCCAAGUAGCGUGAAGGAUGACUGCCCUACGGGUUGUAAACUUCUUUUAUAAGGGAAUAAAGUGAGGCACGUGUGCCUAUUUGCAUGUACUUUAUGAAUAAGGAUCGGCUAACUCCGUGCCAGCAGCCGCGGUAAUACGGAGGAUGCGAGCGUUAUCCGGAUUUAUUGGGUUUAAAGGGUGCGUAGGUGGUUUGUUAAGUCAGUGGUGAAAGUUUGCGGCUCAACCGUAAAAUUGCAAUUGAUACUGGAAGACUUGAGUGUGUUUGAGGUAGGGGGAAUGGGGGGUGUAGCGGUGAAAUGAAUAGAUAGCAGGCAGAACGCAGAUUGCGAAGGCAGUUUAUAAAGCCAUAAUUGAAACUGAAGCACGAAGGCGUGGGAUCAAACAGGAUUAGAUACCCCUGUAGUC